AGCGAACGUUAGCGGCAGGCCUAACACAUGCAAGUCGAGCGAGAAAGGGGCUUCGGCUCCGAGUAAAGCGGCGGACGGGUGCGUAACACGUGGAUAAUCUGCCCUUCAGUGGGGAAUAACGUUCCGAAAGGAACGCUAAUGCCGCAUGUCACAACGAGGCCCCUGGGUCACGUUGGAAAAAGGGGACGCCCGCAAGGGGUUCUCGCUGGAGGAUGAGUCCGCGGCCCAUCAGCUUGUUGGCGGGUAAUGGCCCACCAAGGCGAAGACGGGUAGCUGGUCUGAGAGGAUGACCAGCCACACUGGGACUGAGACACGGCCCAGACUCCUACGGGAGGCAGCAGUGGGGAAUAUUGGACAAUGGGCGAAAGCCUGAUCCAGCCAUGCC
rnacentral:rRNA from 1 species